GAACGGUGUCUUCGGACACAGUGGCGGACGGGUGAGUAACGCGUGAGAAUCUGCCAUCAGGUCUGGGACAACCACUGGAAACGGUGGCUAAUACCGGAUGUGCCCUUCGGGGUGAAAGGUUAACUGCCUGUUGAUGAGCUCGCGUCUGAUUAGCUAGUUGGNGUGGUAAGAGCGCACCAAGGCGACGAUCAGUAGCUGGUCUGAGAGGACGAUCAGCCACACUGGGACUGANACACGGCCCANACUCCUACGGGAGGCAGCAGUGGGGAAUUUUCCGCAAUGGGCGAAAGCCUGACGGAGCAAUACCGCGUGAGGGAGGAAGGCUCUUGGGUCGUAAACCUCUUUUCUCAGGGAAGAACACAAUGACGGUACCUGAGGAAUAAGCAUCGGCUAACUCCGUGCCAGCAGCCGCGGUAAUACGGAGGAUGCAAGCGUUAUCCGGAAUGAUUGGGCGUAAAGCGUCCGCAGGUGGCUAUGUAAGUCUGCUGUUAAAGAGUCUAGCUCAACUAGAUAAGAGCAGUGGAAACUACAAGGCUAGAGUGCGUUCGGGGCAGAGGGAAUUCCUGGUGUAGCGGUGAAAUGCGUANAGAUCAGGAAGAACACCGGUGGCGAAGGCGCUCUGCUAGGCCGCAACUGACACUGAGGGACGAAAGCUAGGGGAGCGAAUGGGAUUAGAUACCCCAGUAGUCCUAGCCGUAAACGAUGGAUACUAGGCGUGGCUUGUNUCGACCCGAGCCGUGCCGUANCUAACGCGUUAAGUAUCCCGCCUGGGGAGUACGCCGGCAACGGUGAAACUCAAAGGAAUU
rnacentral:rRNA from 1 species